rnacentral:rRNA from 1 species
AACGAACGCUGGCGGCGUGGAUAAGACAUGCAAGUCGAACGGGACUAAAUCUGUAGCAAUACAGGUUUAGUUUAGUGGCGAACGGGUGCGUAACACGUGGGCAAUCUGCCGAGAAGUGGGGGAUAGCUCGCCGAAAGGCGAAUUAAUACCGCAUAUGAUCAGCUAAGACAUCUUAGCGACAUCAAAGCCGGGGCAACCUGGCGCUACUCGAUGAGCCCGCGGCCUAUCAGCUAGUUGGUGAGGUAACGGCUCACCAAGGCUAUGACGGGUAGCUGGUCUGAGAGGACGACCAGUCACACUGGAACUGAGACACGGUCCAGACACCUACGGGUGGCAGCAGUCGAGAAUUUUUCUCAAUGGGGCAACCCUGAAGGAGCGACGCCGCGUGGAGGAUGAAGG